rnacentral:rRNA from 1 species
AACGAACGCUGGCGGCAUGCCUAACACAUGCAAGUCGAACGAGAACUCCGGGAGUAGUGGCGACUGGGUGUGUAACGGGUGGGAACAUGCACUUAGGUACGGACUAACUCUUCGACAGGGGUGAUAAUACCGGAUAAUGUCUACGGACCAAAGAUAUAUCGCCUUUGGAUGGGCAAGAGUUGGAUUAGCUUGUUGGUAGGGUAAAAGCAUACUACGGCGACGAUCAAUAGCUGGUUAGAGAGAAUGCUCAGCAACACUGAGAGUGGGACACGGCCCGGACUCCUACGCGAUGCAGGAGUGGGUAAUAUAGGACAGUGGGCGAAAGCCUGAACCACCUAUGCCGCGAAAGUGAUGUAGGCCUGAGAGAAGUAAAGCGCUUUUACCCACGAUGAUAAUGACGGUACCUAGAGAAUAAGCUCCGGCUAACUCCGUG